UUGGAGUACACAAUAGAUUUGACAAAGGAAGGCCACCAACAGCAGAAAAGUGGAGGACAUGACUAUUACGGCGGCCAAACUCACAGCUCUCCAUACAGCAGUCAUCAAACCUAUGGAGCCAGACAAAAGAUAGGGUCCAUUUUUAGUGACUUGUUCACUUUGGGAUUUGUGGCUUUGAUUAUCUAUGUGAUCUACAAGACAUGCAUCUCGGCCCAGACAGGCUAUGCUGCAAACAAUGGAUACAGACCCACAGGGAGUGGGUACCAACCCCCUCCCCCUGGAUUCAGAGAUGAAUACACCCAACCAGGCUGUGGAUCUGCAUACUCCUCAGGCACCGCUUAUCCAGGUGGUGUUGCAGGUGGCACUGGUGGGGGAUUCUGGUCAGGAGCCUUUACUGGUGGAAUUCUGGGAUACAUGCUUGGAAACAACAGAAAUGAUUACUACACCCCAGGAUAUACUAGGCCAUACAACACUGGGUGGGGCUGGAAUACAGGGAGGACCUCUCCAGGAUGGUUCAGCUCGGGGUCCGGGUCAGGGUUUGGGGGCGGCAUGGCAAGCACUGGCACUCGCACUGCCUCAGGAUUUGGAGGGACAAAAAGAAGAUAGACCAGUUGUCUGAUCCAUAUCCAAAGAGAAACUCAGCAGCUUAAUUAAUAUGAAUCUGUAAAGAGUGAAAGGAGAAAUUGAUUUUUGACUGUGAUAAAGAAAGAUUUUUAUUAGGAAUUGUCUUGUAUCGGUAAAGUACAAUUAAUAACCAGUGAGUAUGUUUAUAAUAACGGUAUGUUUGUUAUCCAUAAAUUUUGUAUUUAGUGUACGUUUUCUUGUGAAUGUUAGUUGGAGUUGUGUCUCAUUCAAAUGGAUGUACAAAGACUCGCAAAGCUGUGCAAUUUGUAUGUAUGUGUGAUACAUAUUUUUUCCUUCUUUUUUCGGUCUUUUUCAAUCAUUUUUCAGUUACCUGUUCAUGUACAUGUACUUAUAAGUUUAAUUAAAGCAAAUUGAGCUGUGAUUUUUAUGUUGGAAAUUUUUAUUAUAUUAUUGCCUACUUUUUUUUAAGACAAAAAAUAUUAUGAUUAAUAUACUUCUGUUAAUAAUAUUUUUGUGAGGAAAGCUAUUUAGAGGCCUUAAUUGAAGCUACUGGUAAAUUGCGUACAUUAUUGUCCUCCAGUACAAAAAAUGGUUAACUCUAUACAUUACUUAUUUGAGAAAUCUUUCUUGUGAUAAAAUCUAAUACAUGUAAUUUAUUUGAGUCUUAAUUAAUUUAUUAUGAAGGUAAGUUACAUGCAUAAUUAUCUUAUUUUUGGAAGGUUUUUGCAACAAAAUAAUAUUUUUAAAAUGACAGCUCAUAUUGCAUUUACAAUAGUCUUAUUUUUGUUUGUUUGUUUGUUUUUUUUAAUAUAAUUAUAUGUUAUGUACCGGUACAUGGUGCAUUUAGCAUUUUGGCAAAUACUUACUGUCUUCAUCAGUGAAGCAGUAACAAAACAAAAUUGUCAAUAUUAACUGGGUAUACAUGUAUUGCUGUCUUUUGUGGCCAAGGAAUUGUCUGUGGUCUUUACCAUUUUCAUUUCAUGUUGUUGAAUGAUUGUUACUACUUGUAUUUUCAAUUUAAUAAAUUUUCUUUAA
rnacentral:misc_RNA from 1 species